rnacentral:rRNA from 1 species
GAUGAACGCUGGCGGCGUGCCUAAUACAUGCAAGUCGAGCGAACAGACGAGGAGCUUGCUCCUCUGACGUUAGCGGCGGACGGGUGAGUAACACGUGGAUAACCUACCUGUAAGACUGGGAUAACUUCGGGAAACCGGAGCUAAUACCGGAUAAUAUAUUGAACCGCAUGGUUCAAUAUUGAAAGACGGUUUUGCUGUAAAUUAUAGAUGGAUCCGCGCCGCUUUAGUUAGUUGGUAAGGUAAGGGAUUACCAAGGCAACGAUGCGUAGCCGACCGGAGAGGGUGAUCAGCCACACUGGAACUGAGACACGGUCCAGAGUCCUACGGGAGGCAGCCGUAGGGAAUCUUCCGCAAUGGGCGAAAGCCUGACGGAGCAACGCCGCGUGAGUGAUGAAGGUCUUCGGAUCGUAAAACUCUGUUAUUAGGGAAGAACAAAUGUGUAAGUAACUAUGCACGUCUUGACGGUACCUAAUCAGAAAGCCACGGCUAACUACGUG